CAGCGCCACAAGUGGGAGCCGCGAUUAUUGGGCCUAAAGCGUCCGUAGCCGGUUUGGUAAAUCUUUUGUGAAAUCGUUGGGCUUAACUUAACGACGUGCAGAAGACACUACCAGACUUGGAACUGGGAGGAGUCAGAGGUAUUUCUGGGGGAGCGGUAAAAUGCUAUAAUCCUAGGAGGACCACCGGUGGCGAAGGCGUCUGACUAGAACAGAUUCGACGGUGAGGGACGAAAGCCAGGGGAGCGAUCCGGAUUAGAGACCCGAGUAGUCC
rnacentral:rRNA from 1 species